GCAUGGGUUUGGAUUUCUGGCAGGCCUGUCAUCCCCCUGGGUCUUCAUAAUGCCCCAUGCCAGUACAAACUGUGGCCUUGAACCAUUGCCUAGCCUCUGUCCAUACGGUGCCGGCACUAAAGUGGGUUACACAGUG